rnacentral:rRNA from 1 species
AGUGCGCAGUUUUCCGUAGCAAUACGGGAAAUCGGCGCACGGCGCACGGGUGAGUAACACGUGGGCAACCUGCCCUACAGAGGGGGAUACCCCCGCGAAAGCGGGACUAAUACCGCAUGAUAUUCCGGUGGCUUCGGUUGCUGGACUCAAAGUCCGCAAGGACGCUGUUGGAGGGGCCCGCGCCCGAUUAGCUUGUUGGUGAGGUAACGGCUCACCAAGGCUUUGAUCGGUAGCCGGUCUGAGAGGAUGGCCGGCCACACUGGAACUGAGACACGGUCCAGACUCCUACGGGAGGCAGCAGUGGGGAAUAUUGCGCAAUGGGCGAAAGCCUGACGCAGCGACGCCGCGUGGGGGAUGAAGCUUCUCGGAGUGUAAACCCCUUUCGACCCGGACGAAUGACCCGCAAGGGUUUGACGGUACGGGUAUAAGAAGCCCCGGCUAACUACGUGCCAGCAGCCGCGGUAAUACGUAGGGGGCCAGCGUUGCUCGGAAUUACUGGGCGUAAAGGGUUCGUAGGUGGUGCGGCAAGUUGGAAGUGAAAUCUCUGGGCUUAACCCAGAGGCUGCUUUC